AGCGCCACUUCUGGCCAUUUUCUGUAUAUGUGGUGCUGGGGAAUCGAACCCAGGGCCUCAUGUAUGCAGGCAAGCACUCUACUGCUAAGCCACACUCCCAGUCCCCCCAGCUCUUUCUUUGGCCCAUCCCUUAAGUGUUGUUUUCUGUCUCCUUGGCCUUUUUUUCUUACCCUUUCUUCCAAGUCCUUUUAUCUGUUUGGCAAAUUACAAUAUUUGUCAAAUAAUAAAUGUAGUGGUUUCAAAGUUGGUUUUACAGGGACUUAAUGAAAGUAGAGUUUUAGACUCCAGGUCAGGUGUGGUCACUCUCUCCUGUCUGCCAGAUAAGGUGAAGGGCAUGGGUGGCAUGCCAUGGCAAGACAGCAUUCCAUCCUCAACCAUCAAAGGAGAAAUUGUGGGGGAUGGGAGUAAAAUGGUAUGCAUAGUUAAAACAGUCCCAGUCAAAGUAUGGCCUGGUUGAACAUUAUUUCAGUCUGUGUUGUGCUGGAAUCUGGAGAAGGAAGUAGUUGUAAUCAAGUCACAGUCCUGAGAGGCUGUGCGGUUAUUUAGGGAUAGUGUUAGUCCUUUGUCAUAAAGUUACUGUUACUAUCCUUGCUCGACCUGAAGUGAUUGUAAAGUGACUUCAGAGAAAACAGCUUAGUGCAAAGACAUAAAAAAAAUGGAGGCAGAGAUGCCAAACUUUUCUCCUGCUUUUAGUUCAUUCCUGGGCCUGGCAAAAGCGGCUCUUGCAUUAACAGUAGAAACAGUGGCCCAUCCUGUGCCCCUCAUCUCACUGCCUGGUGCCCUGAAGCCGUUUCAACCAUGUCAUUCACUGAAGUGACAUAUGGGCUACUGUUUCUGUGGUAGGUUUGAUGUGUCCACAUGUGCACCCAAAUGCAUGCUUGCCUUCUUAGCAGAUCCUCAGACUUUGGGAUAAUUUUACAUACUAUUUCUGUUUUUAUGACCGUCAGUAUUCAUAUUGGCUGUAGAGAGUGAUAGUGAGGUUUCUUUGGUAUUUUUCAUUUCCUUGGCCUCUAUGGCUGCUUUGUAGUUUUUCUGUCUCCAUCAUGUAUCCAUCUAUGUUCCUCUGUACGAGCUGCAAUAGCUGGGUGUAUUUGACUGGUCUUCCAAGAUUUACAGACCCUGUUCAGGUUUGUGAGGGUGGUGUUCCUGCUGCUUGUUAGAGGUCAGACAGAAGCCAUUUGAUCUCUUCUUUUCUAGAAGCUUCUAGAAGCUUACAGACUUUCUACAGCUCUAGCUUCUGAGGAGUUGUCAGGUUUUGCCUUGGUAGCAGUCUCCAUUAUCCUGUCAUUGACAUGGACACUCACCCCUGUGUGGCUCCCUACCUUGUAUGAAUGCAGUAACUCUCAAUGCUGCAAAUAUAAAGGAGUCGUCUUAAUUUUGUUUUCUACCUCUUGCAUUGUCUGUUUGCUCCAAGUUCUUUUUUUUUAAAUAUGUUUGUGUUGGUUGCUAAGAAAAAUUUCAAGUGUCAGGUGAUCCUUGAAGGUCUACUCAUGUUCAUGAGCAAGCAACUAAAAAACUGAGGCUUCUUUCUUGACUGUUUAUCCUCCUCUCUACCUCACAUCUGUUCCCAGCCCUGGCAUCUGCCCUGCCAACUCCCGCCCUGCCCUGUCAGGGGCUGUGCACUUGGAUAAGUGACUCUGCGAUCUGUUGCCCAGUUUCUUCACUGUAUGUGGGCUCCUGGCUCCAAGGGUGGCCUUAAGACUGGAUGGGUUUAGAAUAGUGCAUAGCACUUAGUUAGCACCAGAUAAGUACUGGUAUUUCAUUGCUUGCUGCCACCAAAGCCCCAUCAUUACUCUGUUUCUGAGUGUCCUUGCCAGACCUUCUCUUGCUUAGUGCUGCUCACUGUGUGAGGCAUGGCAAAUUCAUUUCUGCUGCUUCUUAUGUGAGGAUGGAAGCUAUGAUACAGGGUCUCACGUCACAGCUUCUGACCUAGA